rnacentral:lncRNA from 1 species
GGGUUCAAAAGUUGCUGUCUUUACCAUCGUAACUGCUAACUUCACCUCCUACUUUGCAACUUUAUACUUUUCCACAUUUGUUCACUUUUCCUCCUCUCAUCCUUGUUUUCCACCAACUUCGCUUACGCUACCUUUUUAACCUCUACCUUUCAUUGGACUUCUCCAUCCCAUCACCAUCUCCUCGAGAUCAUCCCUGAUCUACCUCACGAGCCC